rnacentral:rRNA from 1 species
GACGAACGCUGGCGGCGUGCUUAACACAUGCAAGUCGAACGGAAAGGCCCUGCUUGCAGGGUACUCGAGUGGCGAACGGGUGAGUAACACGUGGGUGAUCUGCCCUGCACUUCGGGAUAAGCCUGGGAAACUGGGUCUAAUACCGGAUAGGAGCCCUUUUUAGUGUGAUGGUUGGAAAGUUUUUUCGGUGUAGGAUGAGCUCGCGGCCUAUCAGCUUGUUGGUGGGGUAAUGGCCUACCAAGGCGGCGACGGGUAGCCGGCCUGAGAGGGUGGACGGCCACAUUGGGACUGAGAUAAGGCCCAGACUCCUACGGGAGGCAGCGGUGGGGAAUAUUGCACAAUGGGCGCAAGCCUGAUGCAGCGACGCCGCGGGGGGGAUGACGGCCUUCGGGUUGGAAACUCCUUUCGCUAGGGACGAAGCUUUUUGUGACGGUACCUAGAGAAGAAGCACCGGCUAACUACGUG